GGCUGGGGCGGUACACCUGUCAAGUCGUAAGGCAGAUCUCCUAAGGUGAGCUCAGGGAGGAUAGAACCUCCUGUGGAGAAGAAAGGCAAAAGCUCGCUUGAUCACGACUUCCAGUACAAAUGCAGACCAUGAAAGUAGGG
rnacentral:ncRNA from 1 species